rnacentral:lncRNA from 1 species
GUGCUUGAAGAAUAAGCCAUUUCUUCACUCUGUGAUCAUUUACCCAACAAAGGGGGAGCAGCUGAGGGUCGCAAGGGUAACAGAUGAGCAAGGUACAGCAAUGGCUGUGAAGGUGCCGCCUGUCUGGUUGCUAUUCUGGAGGACAGAAGCAGUGUCAUCUUUGGGUCCCUGGAGUCACAAUCACCACAGUUACUUUGGGUACCUGAUUCCGGGUCCCUAAA